rnacentral:rRNA from 1 species
UGGGGAAUAUUGGGCAAUGGGCGAAAGCCUGACCCAGCAACGCCGCGUGAGGGAAGAAGGUUUUCGGAUUGUAAACCUCUGUCCUUGGGGACGAAGAAAGUGACGGUACCCAAGGAGGAAGACCCGGCUAACUACGUGCCAGCAGCCGCGGUGAUAAGUAGGGGGCAAGCGUUGUCCGGAAUUACUGGGCGUAAAGGGUGCGUAGGCGGUUGCCUAAGUCAGAUGUGAAAUCCCCGGGCUUAACUCGGGGGGUGCAUUUGAAACUGGGAGGCUAGAGUGCAGGAGAGGGAAGCGGAAUUCCUAGUGUAGCGGUGAAAUGCGUAGAUAUUAGGAGGAACACCAGUGGCGAAGGCGGCUUUCUGGACUGUAACUGACGCUGAGGCACGAAAGCGUGGGGAGCAAACA